CCGAAAGGGUGACGAAGCGACGCCGCGUGGGUGAGGAAGGCCUUCGGGUUGUAAAGCCCUGUCAGGAGUUAAGAAAUGUAAGUGCGCUAAUAUCGCAUUUAUUUGACGAAGGCUCCAAAGGAAGUCACGGCUAACUCUGUGCCAGCAGCCGCGGUAAUACAGAGGUGGCAAGCGUUGUUCGGAAUUAUUGGGCGUAAAGAGCACGUAGGUGGGUUUGUAAGUCAGAUGUGAAAGCCUUCUGUUCAACGGAAGAAUUGCAUCUGAAACUGCGAGUCUUGAGUGUAGGAGGGGAGAAUGGAACUUCUGGUGGAGCGGUGAAAUGCGUAGAUAUCAGAAGGAACGCCGGCGGCGAAAGCGAUUCUCUGGCCCAUUACUGACACUCAGUGUGCGAA
rnacentral:rRNA from 1 species